rnacentral:lncRNA from 1 species
AGCCCACAUCACCAUCAUUCAUCAACUUGCACAAGUGAUCACCACCCCCUGGGCAAAUACACCAGUAACCAAAUCGCAAAGAUCGAUAGGCACUCCUCCGUGCCUUGCUCGCUGUGCCCAGAAGCCAGCCAGCCUGAGGAGCCACGGCAGCAGCGGUUCCAGGUAUCGCAGCCCUCAGACCUGCAGACCUGGGCGGCCACAGCCAGCUCCCAACAGCUUGGCUGGGUCACAAUCCUGAGACUGGAGAUCGGAGUCGACCUGGGGAAACACAUUCUCCAGAGCCCACGACAGCAAGCGCAGGCCACCAGUUUAGGAGAUCCUUCGAGCUGCAGUGAGAGUCAUGCUGCGUGGUAAAUGUGAAGAAAUACAACUGAAGAAAUACACACCUUUUCAGGAUGAAUCUACAGGUAUGUCACAGAAGGCAACAUUCCAGUUAACAACUUUAAUAGAAAAUGGGCCUGGAGGCUGAGAUGGUUCCAUCUUCUCUCUUGAUCGUGGAGGCUGCUCUGAGUAGUUGGUCCCAGAGCAAAGAUUAUACACAUAGAGUGAAACAGAUGUGGAGUUUUAAGUUCUGGAUCCACCCCUUAUCAGUUGUAUAGAUCUUUUUUGUUUUUUUUGUUUUGUUUUGUUUUGUUUUGUUUUGUUUUUUUGGUUUUUCGAGACAGGAUUUCUCUGUAUUGUUUUGGAGCCUGUCCUGGAACUCACUCUGUAGACCAGGCUGGCCUCGAGCAGUUGUAUAGAUCUUGGCAAGCUGACUGUCCUCACUUUCACCACUUGUAAAUUGAAUAUAAUAGUAGU